ACUUCAACGCUAUUCAAGAUAACCCUCAAGUUGGUCCUUCUCAAAGCAUUGUUCAAGUAUACAAGCCAAAGGACGAUAUCAUCCUCGAUGAAGACAUGCUUGUGGAUUACACCCGAGGUGUUUUUGGAGACCUCAGUUAAUCUCCAUAAAAAGUUGAUGUCACUUAGCUAUUUAAUACUACAAGAUGUUAUAUAUUGUAUAACAAUAAAUAGAAUAAAGUCUUUCAGACUAUGUAU
rnacentral:lncRNA from 1 species